rnacentral:rRNA from 1 species
AUGCGGUCGCGAUACAACUUGAAAGCAUCGCCCUGCAUGGACUGCUGUGUCCACUUCUUCUGUGAGAGUUGCGCGCUAUGCCAAGAGUACAAGGAGAUGGAAAACCGUGGCUUCAACAUGGCCAAAGGUCGAUGGGAAGGUAGCAACAAGAUGGUGGGGUGUGUGCAAGGCAUGAAAGCACCUGGGAAGCAAGGGAUGUGUUUCUAG